CUUUGUGACAGUCGCAUGAGUGAAAACAAGGCUUCCCGUUCGCUCAGCCCUAUUUAAGCAAGAUACCGGCGGAUUAGUAGUUAGGUGGGUGACCACUAGCGAANNAUUUUUGCAGUCGCAACAC
rnacentral:rRNA from 1 species